GGCGGGAUCCACGCGCUUGCGCGUGGUGAGAGCGGCGGACUGGCGAGUAACACGUGGGCGACGCGCCCUCCGGACGGGAAUAGCCUGCAGAAAUGCAGGGUAAUGCCGGAUGCGAACGCACGGGCUGGAGCCGUGCGUGGAAAGCCCCCACGGGGGCGCCGGAGGAGCGGCCCGCGGCCCAUCAGCUGGUAGGCGGUGCAAGGGACCACCUAGGCUACGACGGGUACCCGGCCUCAGAGGGCGGACGGGCGCAUUGGGACUGAGAUACGGCCCAGGCUCCUACGGGAGGCAGCAGCUAAGAAUAUUCCGCAAUGGGGGGAACCCUGACGGAGCGACGCCGCGUGGGCGAGGAAGGCCGGAAGGUUGUAAAGCCCUUUUGCGCGCGAGGAAUAAGGGGAGGAGGGAAUGCCUUCCCGGUGACCGUAGCGCGCGAAUAAGCGCCGGCUAAUUACGUGCCAGCAGCCGCGGUAACACGUAAGGCGCGAGCGUUGUUCGGAAUCAUUGGGCGUAAAGGGCGUGUAGGCGGCCCUGCAAGCCUGGCGUGAAAUCCCGGGGCCCAACCCCGGAACCGCGCUGGGAACUGCUGGGCUUGAGCCGCUGUGGCGCAGCCGGAAUUCCAGGUGUAGGGGUGAAAUCUGUAGAUAUCUGGAAGAACGCCGAUGGCGAAGGCAGGCUGCGAGCGGACGGCUGACGCUGAGGCGCGAAGGCGCGGGGAGCGAACAGGAUUAGAUACCCUGGUAGUCCGCGCAGUAAACGAUGCACACUGGGUGUCCGGGCAUGAGCCCGGGUGCCGAAGCGAACGCGUUAAGUGUGCCGCCUGGGGAGUAUGCCCGCAAGGGUGCAACUCAAA
rnacentral:rRNA from 1 species